UUAAGAUCAUUCUCUUGGGACAGACUGUUAACAUAUUCUAAAUUGAGUAGCUGUCCAGCGAGCAGGCAAGAUUUGGUCCUGUGAUGCCAAGAUUUGUGUGGUAGUACACUCUAAAAAUUAGGGGUUCAACUGGAGUUCUUCUAAGAACCUUAAGGUUCUUGGCAAUGAAAAACAGCACCAAAAAGGUUAUUCGAAGAACUUCUUAGGAGGUGGGUUCAUCGAGGAACCCCCAUUGUUGCUGGAGUUCUUCGGGGGAACUUCACAACUGAAAACGUUCGCGCCAAGUUUGAAUGCGACAACAGUUUAAAAAGAACAGAACAUGGACACAAUGCAAUUGGGAUCAAGAAGAAGAUAUUCUCAAAAAUGAAUCAAAUCCAUGGAAUGGAUAUAGACAAAAAUAAAAUGUAAAGGACUCCGUAAGGCUAGUGGCAAAAUGAUAGCAGAGUUAGAGGUGAGCCAGGGGUGAGGAUAUCAUCCUGCUAUUUCGGCAGUCCCUGAAGGACAGUACAGAAGAGGCACACAGGUAUUUGCACUUGUUCCUUACCUUUCUCUAAUGUAGCCAAUACAUAGUAUAUUAAAAAUAUGUAUUUUGUAAUAAAAUUAGCAAAUGUAGUAAGAUCAUUGCUUUAGUAGGACUCGAGACCACAGCUCUUGCCCUUCUUCUUCAAUGAGGACCCGAGUGGCCUUUGUCUGUGACGAGGUUUCACUGCUCCCAACUCCUUUACUGAACAUCGGU